GUACGAAAAAGCAAUUUUUAGUGGCGAACGGGUGAGUAACACGUGAGAAUUUGCCUUUAGGAUGAGGAAAACUUAUAGAGAUAUUUGCUAAUACUCAAUAUGCUAUUUUUAGUGAAAGAAGCAAUUCGCCUAAAGAGGAGCUUGCGUCUGAUUAGCUAGUUGGUAGGGUAAAGGCCUACCAAGGCGACGAUCAGUAGUUGGUCUGAGAGGAUGGCCAGCCACAUUGGAACUGAGACACGGUCCAGACUCC
rnacentral:rRNA from 1 species